rnacentral:rRNA from 1 species
AACGAACGCUGGCGGCAUGCCUAACACAUGCAAGUCGAACGAGACCUUCGGGUCUAGUGGCGCACGGGUGCGUAACGCGUGGGAACCUGCCCUUAGGUUCGGAAUAACUCCCCGAAAGGGGUGCUAAUACCGGAUAAUGUCUUCGGACCAAAGAUUUAUCGCCUUUGGAUGGGCCCGCGUUGGAUUAGCUAGUUGGUAGGGUAAAAGCCUACCAAGGCGACGAUCCAUAGCUGGUCUGAGAGGAUGAUCAGCCACACUGGGACUGAGACACGGCCCAGACUCCUACGGGAGGCAGCAGUGGUGGAUGUUGGACAGUGGGCGAAAGCCUGAUCCAGCAAUGCCGCGUGAGUGAUGAAGGCCUUAGGGUUGUAAAGCUCUUUUACCCGGGAUGAUCAUGACAGUACCGGGAGAAUAAGCUCCGGCUAACUCCGUG